rnacentral:rRNA from 1 species
UACGAAGGGUGCAAACGUUGCUCGGAAUCAUUGGGCGCAAAGCGCACGUAGGCGGCUUUGCAAGUCGGAUGUGAAAUCCCUCGGCUCAACCAAGGAAGUGCAUCCGAAACUGCAGAGCUUGAGUACUUAAGAGGAUCGCGGAAUUCCCGGUGUAGAGGUGAAAUUCGUAGAUAUCGAGAGGAACACCGGUGGCGAAGGCGGCGAUCUGGACGAUGACUGACGCUGAGACGCGAAAGCGUGGGGAGCAAACAGG